rnacentral:rRNA from 1 species
UACAGUGGUCUCAAGCGUUGUUCGGAAUCACUGGGCGUAAAGGGUGAGUAGGCUGCAUGGUAAGUCAGAUGUGAAAUCCGAAAGCUCAACUUUCGAAAUGCAUCCGAUACUGCAAUGCUAGAGAUAUGUAAGGGGGCCUGGAAUUCUCGGUGUAGCAGUGAAAUGCGUAGAUAUCGAGAAGAACACUUGUGGCGAAAGCGGGGCCCUGGGCAUAUUCUGACGCUGAGUCACGAAGGCUAGGGGAGCGAACGGG